GGAGUAAAGCUAGCUGUGAGAAGUCAGCAGACGCCAUAGUACGCGAACCGCAACGCGGGUAGCGGAAGGGC
rnacentral:ncRNA from 1 species